UAAAAUUAAUAAAUUUAUAAUUAAUAAAAAAAUUUUUAAUAUAAAAAUAAUUAUAAUUGAGGGGUUAUAGUAUAUUUUAUUGAAAAAAUUUUUUAUUUUAUAGUUUAUUAGUAUUGUAAAAGAAUUUUGGAAUAAUUAUUACUUAAUUAAAAAGUAAUUUUAAUUUGAUGUAUCUUGUGUAUCAGAGUUUACCAAUAAAAUAUUUAUAUUUUUAGAAUUCUCGAAUUUAAAAGAGUUAAUUAAUUAAAAAAGUUAUUGUGGUAUAAAUAUUUUUAAUAAUUAAUUUGAAAUGAAAUGUUAAUCGUUUUUAAAUAUAUCUAGUUUUUUUAGAAAAAAAUUUAAUUUUUGAUUUUUUAUAAAAAUUAAUUAAUUAAUUAAUUAAUUUUUAUAAGAAAAUUUAAUAAUUUAAGGGAUAAGCUUUAAAUUAAAUUUUUAUAAUUAAAAAUAAUAUUAGAUUUGAAAUUUUUAUAAUUUAUAUUGUUAAUAAAUUUUAAUUUAUUAUAAAUAAUUUCAUUAAAAAUAAAAUUUAAUUGGAAAUUUAAUUUUUUAUAAAAAAAAAUAAUUUUUAAUUUAUUAAAAUUAAUUAUAAUAGUAAAAUUAGUAAAUAAUAUGGGUAUAUAUAUAUAUAUAUAUAUAUAUAUUUAUAAAAAUAAAUAUAAUAUUUUUAUUUUAAAAAAAUAUAUAAAAAGAUCUCGGCACACAAUAUAAUAUAUACUCUCGUGUAUAUCAAACACAUGUCUUUUUGUUUAAUAAUAUAAACUCAAAUCCCCCCACUGAUAUAAAAUAGGGGGGGUGCAAUAUUUUGCGUGUACAAGGGGGACAUACUCAAUACUCUCUUAAAUAGAGACGUGUGUGAAAAGAGUGAAAGAAAUAAAACACUGGUCUCCUUGUAAAGAUAUAGAAUUUAAUUUUUUUAUUAAAAAGUCAAAAAAAAUUAAAAACACGAAAACACCCUAAAGAGUUUAAAGGCGAGAAGCCCUAUAGAGUUAUAAAAAUAUUUAUGGAAAUUAUUUUAAAAGGUAAAAUUAAUAAUAAAAUUUUUAUUUUUAUUGGGGUGGAUGGAAAAAUUUAAAUAAACUUUUUUUGGGUAAACAUAAAUAAAUGAUUUUUGGAUCCAUUAUAUUAAUGAUAUAAAGAUAAAUUACCUUAGGGAUAACCAGCGGUAUUUUUUUUUUUAGUUCAAAUAAGAAAAAAAGUUUGCGACCUCGAUGUUGGAUUAAGAUAAAAUUUAAAUGCAGAAGUUUAAAAUUUUUGAUCUGUUCGAUCAUUAAAAUCUUACAUGAUCUGAGUUCAAACCGGUGUAAGCCAGGUUGGUUUCUAUCUUUUAAUAAUUAAAAUAUUUUAGUACGAAAGGAUCAAAUAUUUAGAUUAAAUUUAAUUAAAUGAAUAUUUAUAAUUUAUUGUAUACU
rnacentral:rRNA from 1 species